rnacentral:tRNA from 2 species
GCAUCUGUAGCUCAGUAGGAUAGAGCGUCCGCCUCCUAAGCGGAAGGUCGUGGGUUCGAAUCCCGCCAGGUGCA